UACGAAGGGGGCUAGCGUUGUUCGGAUUUACUGGGCGUAAAGCGCACGUAGGCGGAUCGUUAAGUCAGGGGUGAAAUCCUGGAGCUCAACUCCAGAACUGCCUUUGAUACUGGCGAUCUUGAGUCCGGGAGAGGUGAGUGGAACUGCGAGUGUAGAGGUGAAAUUCGUAGAUAUUCGCAAGAACACCAGUGGCGAAGGCGGCUCACUGGCCCGGUACUGACGCUGAGACACGAAAGCGUGGGUAGCAAACAGG
rnacentral:rRNA from 1 species